CCAGGAGUGGAGCCUGCGGCCUAAUUUGACUCAACACGGGAAAACUCACCCGGUCCGGACACUGGAAGGAUUGACAGAUUGAGAGGUCCUCUUUCUUGAUUCAGUGGGUGGUGGUGGUGGUGCAUGGCCGUUCUUAGUUGGUGGAGCGAUUUGUCUGGUUAAUUCCGAUAACGAACGAGACUCUAGCCUACUAAAUAGAAUACCAGCUUACAUACACGUUGGUGGUAUUAUUCACACUUCUUAGAGGGACAGGCGGCGUCGUUUCAGCCGCACGAAACAGAGCAAUAACAGGUCUGUGAUGCCCCUAGAUGUCCGGGGCCGCACGCGCGCUACAAUGAAGUGAUCAGCGUGUAUAUACUUGGCCUACUCUGUUAAGAGUGGGUAACCCAAUGAAACUUCUUCGUGAUUGGGAUAGGGGAUUGUAAUUAUUCCCCUUGAACGAGGAAUUCCCAGUAAGCGCGAGUCAUUAGCUCGCGUUGAUUACGUCCCUGCCCUUUGUACACACCGCCCGUCGCUACU
rnacentral:rRNA from 1 species